rnacentral:rRNA from 1 species
UAAUACGUAGGGGCCGAGCGUUGUCCGGAGUUACUGGGCGUAAAGCGCGCGCAGGCGGCGCGGUAAGCAUGGCGUGAAAGCCCCCGGCUCAACCGGGGAGGGUCGCCGUGGACUGCCGCGCUUGAGGGCGGCAGGGGUCGGUGGAAUGCCCGGUGUAGUGGUGAAAUGCGUAGAGAUCGGGCGGAACACCCGUGGCGAAGGCGGCCGACUGGGCCGGCCCUGACGCUGAGGCGCGAAGGCGUGGGGAGCGAACGGGAUUAGAUACCCCGGUAGUCCACGCAGUAAACGAUGCAGACUAGGCGUGGGGGGACUUGACCCCCUCCGUGCCGGAGCUAACGCGGUAAGUCUGCCGCCUGGGGAGUACGGCCGCAAGGCUA